AACGCAUCUUGCGCUCCUUGGUAUUCCGAGGAGCAUGCCUGUUUGAGUGUCAUUUGAGUUCUCAAGGUCAUACUUUCGGUGUGGCUUUGGAUAUGGAGGUUUGCAGGCUUCUGAAAAAUGAAGUCGGCUCCUCUGAAAUGCAUUAGUGGUAUCUGAGCAGAGACUACUUACAGGUGUGAUAAUUAUCUAUCUAUGCCUUGGUAUGCUGCAUUAAACAGAUUGCACUGCUUAUAACAAGUGAAAUUUGACAAGUUUGACCUCAAAUCAGGUAGGACUACCCGCUGAACUUAA
rnacentral:misc_RNA from 1 species